rnacentral:rRNA from 1 species
CAAACUACCCUGAAUGCGCCCAAUCUCGUCUGAUCUUAGAAGCUAAGCAAGGUCUCACCAGAUCAGUACUUGGAUGAGAGAACUCCUACUCAAACAGGCU